UGUGAGUUUUCUGAGAGUGUCUCAUAUCUAAAACUUCUUCUCCUACUUCUCAUCUUUGGAAGAAUCCAAAUAAAAAAGAAGGAGGCAUCUGAUCGACCAUUUAAGAAGGAUCAGCAUAGUACUAGCAUACUGUGCUGAUUUCUUGGAUCAGGACUUCUGAUCGUGAUUCGUGGACUCGUGUGGAUGACUUCUAGAGGUUGG
rnacentral:lncRNA from 1 species